rnacentral:rRNA from 1 species
UACGAAGGGUGCAAGCGUUACUCGGAAUUACUGGGCGUAAAGGGUGCGUAGGUGGUUUGUUAAGUCUGCUGUGAAAUCCCCGGGCUCAACCUGGGAAUGGCAGUGGAUACUGGCAAGCUAGAGUGCGGUAGAGGGUAGUGGAAUUCCCGGUGUAGCAGUGAAAGGCGUAGAGAUCGGGAGGAACACCAGUGGCGAAGGCGGCUACCUGGACCAGCACUGACACUGAAGCACGAAAGAGUGGGGAGCAAACAGG